AGAGUUUGAUCCUGGCUCAGAUUGAACGCUGGCGGCAUGCUUUACACAUGCAAGUCGAACGGGGUUAAGGGGCUUGCUCCUUAAUCUAGUGGCGAACGGGUGAGUAAUGCAUCGGAACGUACCCGGGAGUGGGGGAUAACGCACCGAAAGGUGUGCUAAUACCGCAUAUUCUGUGAGCAGGAAAGCAGGGGACCUUAGGGCCUUGUGCUUCCGGAGCGGCCGAUGUCAGAUUAGCUAGUUGGUGAGGUAAAGGCUCACCAAGGCGACGAUCCGUAGCGGUCUGAGAGGAUGAUCCGCCC
rnacentral:rRNA from 1 species